UUCUAUACACCUUCGCCUGAUCUCUUCUGAUCUCGGAAGCUAAGCAGGGUCGGGCCUGGUUAGUUACUUGCAUAGGAGGCUGCCACUCUAGAAAUCAGUUGUCAUCAGAAA
rnacentral:rRNA from 1 species